GUUGGCUACCUCCCUCUCUAUUCAUCUCAUUUGAAUAGUACAUUUGAAUGUGAUUGAACAUUUAUGACCCCCUUUUUUGUGUUUCUCUUUAUGGUUUGAAUAUCUGACUGAAAUUCAGUAGGACUAUGGUCUUCUUUUAUGGCUCACAUGUCAGCUUGGGUUUUUACAGACUAGGAGAGUGGAUUAUUGCUUUAGACGGGUGUCACAACAACAGUAGGUAGGUUGACUUUCACUCAACCUUUUAAAACAAUCUUUUAGAAGGUGCUUACAUCAGCUUUUCUCUUGCCUGCUGUCUCCAUGGUAAUGACAGAACGUGAUCCAUUAGGCGCAGCAUGAACAGUUUGAGAGAGAGUGAUGCAGUUGGACAAAGAGCCCUUUGACUUGGUUUAUGUGCUUAGAUGAAGUAUGCAGAUAUCCUCAAUCUCAGUGAACUAAAAUAAACUCUAAUUGUAAACAAAGGUGAUCACUCUUUCAAAACUCAUACUAAUAUUUCAAAAAGUAUUUGUUGCAUUAUGAUCUGUCCAGUGUAUAUUAGGAGUAUUUAUUUAUGUAUGGUACCACCAGUAUUUAUUUAUUUUGCCCUUGAAGUGUUUGGCCUCUUAUCACCACCAGAGGGUGGACAUGCAUUGAUUGUAUUGUAUGACAAACUGAGAUUGAAAGUGUUGUGUACUAACACCACACUGUUGACGGAGAGUGAACAUUUAAUUUAUUAUAGUGUUGAAUAAAAGAUGACUGAUUUUUUUUAUAAAAGCUCAAGCAAUUCCUAUGGUGAUGGAUAAUGGCUUGUGUUUUAGUUGGCUAAGGAUAUCGUCAACAGACUAGACAUCAAACAUCCGUCUAGAAUGACGUCUGAUUCCUGGGCCAGACUACUAAUCUGUCAGCAUGGAGGAAACCACCAUUGUGCUGUCUAUAGGUGCUUGGUGAUGUCAUCAACCCGGGACAAGAGUCAGGGAGCACACCAAGGUGAGUGUUGAAAGAGAGGAUGUUGGGUAAGGAGAGAAAAGGGGAAGACUGUAUGGGGGAAGGAGUCUGUCAUGUAACCAGACAGAGAGUCAGGAGCUGUGUUCGAAUAAUCAUACUAACCGUACAAUUUGUGAUGUGAAUUGAGUAUAUAGUAUGCUUAUUGGUCAUAGUAUGGAUAUAAUUAGCAUGCCAAAAGUUCCCGGAUGACAUACUAAAUUCAACAAAAUAUGAAGUACACAUGCAGUGGACACUAUUUCCGUGCUUUUAGGGCCCAUAGGGUUGAGGGUUCUUCAGAAAACGGCCGUGGCUUCCUAACUUUUCAGAUUUGAAGAAAAUGGCGGAAAAUAUGCAACCGAAGUCCGACGAGAGUGCAUACAAAUUCAUUGCUAGUUGAGACAAAUGUUAAGAACAUUUUAUAAAAUUUAAUAAAGUAAGUUAUCGUUACACGUUAUGUUGGCUGACAAUUUGGUAGCUAUGCUAUCCUUACGACCGCAUAGUAUUACAGCAGUAUGUACCUGCAUGUUAGCUAGUUACCUAACGUUAGUUGGCUACUAAUACAUCGAACAUGCCAGGCAGUAUAUUAACUAUCUGCUAUCUAACUUAACUACCCAACAUUUAUUGACUUGAUUAUUUACAUCAUUCUUAGCUAAGUGGUAUAGUCAUUGUCACGUUGGUAGGAAGAGAUUUAGGAAACAGACGCAGGAAUGCGUAAUAGUUUUUUUAUUAAGCCCCAAAUUAAGACAUGCAAUGUAAAGGCACGGGACGAAGAUCAAACACAUAACAACAACACCCAAACAAAAGAUCGAGGAGUACCUCGAAAAAAUACCCGGGACGACACCCGUAAUCAUCUGCACAAUCCAUAAGGGCACGAAAGCCCAAAACACACAGCACAGGUACACACACGUACCAACAGACAUAGUAACAAUAAUCGACAGCACCAUGGUGAACAAACGGCACAUAUAUAAAAAUAAAGUCAGCAAAAAAACAAACGUCCCUUUUCAGGACCCUGUCUUUCAAAGAUAUUUUGUAAAAUUCUAAAUAACUUCACAGAUCUUCAUUGUAAAGGGUUUAAACACUGUUUCCAUUGCUCGUUCAAUAAAUUGCAAUGUCUGUACUGUGAGACGCUUAAGACAGCGUUACAGGGAGACAGGACGGACAGCUGAUCGUCCUCACAGUGGCAGGCCACGUGUAAC